AGUGCCUUUGAAGCACCCACAUCGCUCCCUCCACCCAGGAAACAACAGCUGCUCUGACCACCCCUCAACCCCCACCGAGAGAGAAGCUCACACGACUUUGCUGACCUCCAGCCCCUAUCAGAGACCCGCACGAGAACGCAUUCAGGGCGAAGCCGCCAUUUCUCUGUGGAGGAGAAUCCUGAGGAGAGGCGGGCAGUGGUGAUGAAAGGGCUGGGGAGGGAGCGACAGCUAAGAAAACCUUGAAAGAGAGGCGCCGGAAUCAUCCAGCCGUCCUCCUCGUCAAAGUUAUGGGCAAUUUGACCUGCCAUUUAGCUAUUUCCUGGAGCCGGUUGAGUGGUUCUUAGGGCCGUUUCUGCCUUGAAGACAACACAGGGCUCCAGAAUAAGAAACAUCAGAAGCCUCAACAGGAGACUGCAAAUUCUUGGCGAUUUAAUUGGAGCGUUUUGCUGCUCUUGAAACCAGCUGGAGAGAAGGAGCAAGCAAAGAGCUUGAAGAGCUGGUCUUUGAGUCAGAGCUAAGUAUAGCAUAGCCAAGUGCUUCAUCUCCCCACUCACCAUAUCGCUGUGGUUUUGAAGGAGGUUGGUUCCGGGGAGAAAAUAUUUAAGGCUGAAGAAAUAGAGUUUUCUUCAGUUUGUCUUCUGUGUAAAUAAGAGGGAUGCAAAGCACAAAUGUUAUGCUGGUUCUUAUUGAUUAACAUGCCAACAAGUUGAACAGUUUUUCAGCUGUCCAGCUUUGCCUCUUCUCACGGCCGCUCUGCGGGCGCUGGGGGGCCACUGCGGGGAGGCCAUGCCCGAGGCAACCAAGCUCCCAUCCUGGCCCCUGGUUCCCAGGAUGCCAUCUCUUUCUCUGGGUAACACUGGUACCCACUUCAGGCUGUCUCUGUAUCCUGUCUUUCCUCAUUCACGUCUCUCUUUCUUUGAACUCUCUAUUGGUCUUUCCCUCUUCCUGUGUUUUCACUUGAGAUCCCACACUGAACAGAUAGAUCCAGAGCUCAAGGAGUUUGUAAUCUGGACUUUCCAGAUCGUUCAGUGUCUGCCAGUGGCUGGUGAGGCUGGUGGCUGUCAGAUCUGCAUUGGUUGCUGUCACCCCUAGGAUUUGAGAAGGAAAGAGAGGCAGUGCUUUUGGUGACCUAUGUUCUCAGGAACAUAAAACCUUGGUAACUGCUUCAUGCUAGGCCGGGUGUCUCAACCUGAGGUCUGUAUGAUCUCAAGGGAGAUGAAUAGAGAGCAACUUUCUAAAUAUAUGUGUCUAUGUGCAUUCAGGGGGAAGUUUCAUAGUGUUCACUGAGUUCUCAAGGUUGGCUAUGAGCCAAAUCAUGUACGAACAACCAUCCUGCAAGUGCGACCCCGGUAGGGAGGCUCAGGCACUAAAGGGUGAGUCAAAAUUCAGCUCAGAACAUGGACUCUAAGAGGGUCUUCCCCUCCAUCAGACACCUUAUUUACCUUUUCAGAGCAAAACUAAAGGAAGAAACCAGUAGUUACAUUUGACCCUUCAAAUCUAUCUUUAAUAAAAGAUCAUUUCAUUUGUACUUGGUCUUGUUUGGCGUUGAUUGGCAAAGAUACUAAAUUAUUAGAUUUUAAUAUAUACUUAAAAGAGCAGAUACAGGAAGAAUGAGAUUAUUAUUGCUUUAUCCUUUGAUAUAUCCUAAAACUGUAGAGUUGGAAUGGCACAAAAAGUUCAUGUCGUCCACCUGAAAGCCCCAACCCUCAUCCAGAAUCUUCAUCCAGAAGAUUUUCUCCAGAAAGCCUCAUCCACAAUCUUCUCUAUGCCACUCCCAUCAAAUGGCCAUUUAGCCUCUGGCAGGAAGAGAGAAUGCUUUGUUCACUUAUCCAUUCAUCUCCUCAACUGCACACUCUCAUAUGCUGUGUACUCUGCUAGGUUCUGGAAAGAUGACAAAUAACAGCCUUGCUGGUUCUUAAGGAGCUUACAGUCCAGCUAUCUAGAGAGGCAGACACUGAAUAGUGAUGAAGAAUGUUAGAGCAGGGACAACUCUGAGGCUAAUGGGGAUCACUCUGGUCAGUGGGUGGUGGUGCAUAUAGAAGGCAUUUCCAGAGAAAGUAGUAUCCAAGCUGAGCUGAGAGGGAAGGGGGAGCUGGGAAGAUGGAGGAAGAUUGGGUUGAGGGAAUGCUGUAGGCAAAAGCAGUGGCACAGUCAAGGAUCUAAGAAUGACAGAGAAGGAGCAGGGCUUAGUGGAGAAAGUGAGAGGCCAUGAUCGGAACAGAAAAAGAGAAUAAAUAGAAUAAAUAAAUAGAGUGGUUUCUAUGGCAACCUGCUUGAUUUUAGACAAGUCUGAGUGAGAAAGUUUUCCCUGACCUUUCUACUUAAGGCCUUCUGAUGCUCCUAGGCAGAGAAACAUCUUCAUGGGAUUUAUGAAGACAAACAGACAUCCCAGCCAUGAAUUUUCUCCUCCACUUCCUUAUAGUGGACAUAAAUUUAAAACAAGAAACAAGUUUUGGUUCUGUUUUACCCUUGUUAUGACCACCACCUGGAAUAUUGUUUUGGACCCAUCCACUCAGCCCAAAGGGGAAACCAAUUGCCAUGUUGUGAGCUACCCUGUGGAAAGGCCCAGAUGGCAGAGAACCGAGGGAAGCUGCAAGCUGACAGCAAGCAGAGAACUGAGGUCUUCAGUGUCAAAGUCCAUGAGGACUUGCAGGCUGCUCGCAGGAUGUGCAAAAGCUUGGAAGUGGUUUCUCUUCUCAGCUGGCUCCUUGACGGCAGCCUUGAGAGACCUUGAG